UACAGAGACUGCAAGCGUUAUUCGGAUUCACUGGGCGUAAAGGGUGCGCAGGCGGCCAUGUGUGUAAGGCGUGAAAGCCCGGGGCUUAACCCCGGAAUUGCACCUCAAACUAUAUGGCUAGAGCAUUGGAGAGGGUAGCAGAAUUCACGGUGUAGCAGUGAAAUGCGUAGAUAUCGUGAGGAAUACCAGAGGCGAAGGCGGCUACCUGGACAAUUGCUGACGCUCAGGCACGAAAGCGUGGGGAGCAAAAGGG
rnacentral:rRNA from 1 species